rnacentral:tRNA from 1 species
GGAAUGUGGCUCAGAGGUAGAGUGCUUGCCUAGCAUGCGUAAGGCCCUGGGUUUGAUCCCCAGCACCA